AAAAAAGGGGAAUUGGACAAAAAAUGAAAUUGGCAAAAAUACUCAAACUCACUUCAUAUCGCAUCUUUUAAUAGAGUCUAAGGAAUUGCAACUACCAUAGUUUGGCAAUUCAACUUACUUUGUUGUAGGAUAACAUAUGUUGGAUGGUCAAAAAAAUACGUGCAAAAUAUUAGUGCGACACGCACGAGGACCCUAAGAUAGAUAAAAAUAAAAAGAAAGACCGGAUAAGGAAUAAGUGUAUUUGUAAGAUGGAAACUGGUCACUGCAAUAAGAUAAGACAUGAUUGAGAUGGUUUGGACAUGUUCCUCAUAGAACAACUUACACGUUAGUAUGGGAUGCUGAGAGUAUUAAAGUCGCAAGAGAGGCAAA
rnacentral:misc_RNA from 1 species